UACGUAGGGUGCAAGCGUUAAUCGGAAUUACUGGGCGUAAAGCGUGCGCAGGCGGUUAUGUAAGACAGAUGUGAAAUGCCCGGGCUUAACCUGGGAACUGCAUUUGUGACUGCAUGGCUAGAGUUUGGCAGAGGGGGGUAGAAUUCCACGUGUAGCAGUGAAAUGCGUAGAUAUGUGGAGGAACACCGAUGGCGAAGGCAGCCUCCUGGGAUAACACUGACGCUCAUGCACGAAGGCUAGGGUAGCGAACGGG
rnacentral:rRNA from 1 species